GCAGACACAUUCCAGCCAAUCAGCAGCAGACCCUCCCUCCCAGACCCUCCCACCUCCUGGACAGCAUCCAUUUUGAAGCUGCAUUCUUAGUGAGCCGUCCAGGAGGUGGGAGAGUCUGGGAGGGAGGGUCUGCUGCUGAUUGGCUGGAAUGUGUCUG
rnacentral:miRNA from 1 species